AUUGAACGCUGGCGGCAUGCUUUACACAUGCAAGUCGAACGGUAACAGGGAGCUUGCUCCGCUGACGAGUGGCGAACGGGUGAGUAAUGCGUCGGAACGUGCCGAGUAGUGGGGGAUAACGCAGCGAAAGUUGUGCUAAUACCGCAUACGUACGGAGGUAGAAAGUGGGGGACCUUCGGGCCUCACGCUAUUCGAGCGGCCGGCGUCUGAUUAGCUAGUAGGUGAGGUAAAGGCUCACCUAGGCGACGAUCAGUAGCGGGUCUGAGAGGAUGAUCCGCCACACUGGGACUGAGACACGGCCCAGACUCCUACGGGAGGCAGCAGUGGGGAAUUUUGGACAAUGGGCGAAAGCCUGAUCCAGCCAUGCCGCGUGUCUGAAGAAGGCCUUCGGGUUGUAAAGGACUUUUGUCGGGGAGGAAAUCCCCAGCGCUAAUACCGCUGGGGGAUGACAGUACCUGAAGAAUAAGCACCGGCUAACUACGUGCCAGCCGCCGCCGUAAUAC
rnacentral:rRNA from 1 species